rnacentral:misc_RNA from 1 species
GAUGAAGAACGCAGCGAAAUGUGAUACUUGGUGUGAAUUGCAGAAUCCCGUGAACCAUCGAGUCUUUGAACGCAAGUUGCGCCCGAAGCCAUCAGGUUGAGGGCACGUCUGCCUGGGCGUCACAUAUCGUUGCCCAAUGCCUAUUGCAGUGCAAUAGGAAUUUCUAGGGCGAAUGAUGGCUUCCCGUGAGCGUUGUUGCCUCGCGGUUGGUUGAAAAUCGAGUCCUUGGUAGGGUGUGCCAUGAUAGAUGGUGGUCGAGUUUGCACGAGACCGAUCAUGUGUGCGCUCCCCAAAAUAUGGACUCUUUGACCCCACACGCGUCUUUUGACGCUCAUGACGAGACCUCAGGUCAGGCGGGGCUACCCGCUGAGUUUAAGCAUAUCAAUAAGCGAGGA